rnacentral:rRNA from 1 species
GACGGAGGAUGCAAGUGUUAUCCGGAAUCACUGGGCGUAAAGCGUCUGUAGGUCGUUUAAAAAGUCUACUGUUAAAAAUUGAAGCUUAACUUCAAAGAUGCCGUAGAAACUUUUAAACUUGAGUAUGGUAGGGGUAGAGGGAAUUUCCAGUGGAGCGGUGAAAUGCGUAGAUAUUGGAAAGACCACCAAUGGCGAAGGCACUCUACUGGGCCAUUACUGACACUGAGAGACGAAAGCUAGGGGAGCGAAUAGG